CAAGGAUUCCCCUAGUAACUGCGAGUGAAGCGGGAAAAGCUCAAAUUUAAAAUCUGGCAGUCUCUGGCUGUCCGAGUUGUAAUCUAGAGAAGUAAUGCCCGUGCUGGACCGUGUAUAAGUCUCCUGGGAUGGGGCGUCAUAGAGGGUGAGAAUCCCGUCUUUGACACGGACUACCAGUGCAUUGUGGUAUGCUCUCAAAGAGUCGAGUUGUUUGGGAAUGCAGCUCAAAAUGGGUGGUAAAUUCCAUCUAAAGCUAAAUAUUGGCGAGAGACCGAUAGCGAACAAGUACCGUGAGGGAAAGAUGAAAAGAACUUUGGAAAGAGAGUUAAACAGUACGUGAAAUUGCUGAAAGGGAAACGCUUGAAGUCAGUCGCGUUGGCCGGGAAUCAGCCUUGCUUUUGCAUGGUGUACUUUCUGGUUGACGGGUCAGCAUCAAUUUUGACCGCUGGAAAAAGACCUGGGGAAUGUGGCAGCUUAGGCUGUGUUAUAGCCCCUAGUCGCAUACAGUGGUUGGGAUUGAGGAACUCAGCACGCCGCAAGGCCGGGUUUCGACCACGUCCGUGCUUAGGAUGCUGGCAUAAUGGCUUUAAGCGACCCGUCUUGAAACACGGACCAAGGAGUCUAACAUGCCUGCGAGUAUUUGAGUGGAAAACCCAAGUGCGCAAUGAAAGUGAAAGUUGAGAUCCCUGUCGUGGGGAGCAUCGACGCCCGGACCAGAACUUUUGGGACGGAUCCGCGGUGGAGCAUGUAUGUUGGGACCCGAAAGAUGGUGAACUAUGCCUGAAUAGGGUGAAGCCAGAGGAAACUCUGGUGGAGGCUCGUAGCGAUUCUGACGUGCAAAUCGAUCGUCAAAUUUGGGUAUAGGGGCGAAAGACUAAUCGAACCAUCUAGUAGCUGGUUCCUGC
rnacentral:rRNA from 1 species